rnacentral:lncRNA from 1 species
UGAAAUUUGUAUAUUGAUAUAACAUAUGUAUAAAAGUUAUUUGUACUUUUGUAUGAUAUAAUAUUGACACAAUAAUUUAUGAUGAAACAGAAAAAUAUGCAAUUCAAAAAAGUGUCGGAGCAGGAAUUAUUGUCGCCUGGUUCAAAAAGAACUGUAGGGAGACCACAACUUGUAAAUGGUUUGCUGAUGUGAAAUUCAAGAGGUCUAAGAUUACGUGCAGUACAUGUCCUCGGGAGGAACACAAUA